UGGCAGGGUUUGAAGUUAUAGUUCAUCACCAUUUUAUAUUGUAAAUCCAUGGUUGUGUUCCACUUAUACUAGUCUCUACACAGUGUGGAUAUGUGUACA